rnacentral:rRNA from 1 species
UACGUAGGGGGCAAGCGUUGUCCGGAAUCAUUGGGCGUAAAGCGCGUGUAGGCGGUUCGGUAAAUCUGCUGUGAAAGUCCAGGGCUCAACCCUGGGAUGCCGGUGGAUACUGUCGGACUAGAGUACGGAAGAGGCGAGUGGAAUUCCCGGUGUAGCGGUGAAAUGCGCAGAUAUCGGGAGGAACACCAAUUGCGAAGGCAGCUCGCUGGGACGUCACUGACGCUGAGACGCGAAAGCGUGGGGAGCAAACAGG